GCGCCCUCUGCUUCUACAUCCGGUGGGACUCCAGCCUUCAUAGACCAUCCCCCGAGCGCCUCCUCCCCACUCCAACUUGUUGUUCAUGACAGUGGGGGAGAGAGUGCCCUCGAGGGCCAAGAGAUGCCUUCUACCUCCCAACUUUUCGUGCUGUUCCAAUAAAUAUUCAACCGCUUUCAAGACAAGGAGGUGGUGGAGAGCUUGAGCGGCAAUCUCUCCCAAGAUCGCAUUGUUAACGGCCUCGGGGACUUCCUGAUUGCCUCUAACUUGGCGCUGAGUAGGGCCCAAGAGGCGGAGGAACUUAAGGCCAAAGUGGCGAAGCUGGAGG
rnacentral:lncRNA from 1 species